UGCGAGUAUAACCAUAAAAUUCGCACAAUGUAAUGCAACUUCUUUCGCAAGAAAGAAACGGUCCCAAGUCCGUAUAAAUGCAGAGGGUGCU
rnacentral:ribozyme from 1 species